GCCUCAGUAGUGUAGUGGUAGAGCACGCGUCCCCGGAUAGGAUGAAACAUGGGUUCGAUUCCCGCCUGAGGCC